CUCUUUCUGGAGAUUCUCCCUUUGGAGUCUUCUACUGUGAGCCUAGGACACGGCUGAAAUGGGACAGAGUUUAUUGAUGGGCUUUCCUUCUGGAUUCCAUUGGCUUGAAGAGGUGGGGAUCUGUAAAGUUGCCUGGAUAAAACACUGUCUCUUGAAAACCUCAGCGAGAAAACAGCUUAUCCUGAAGGUGAACAUCCUGACACAAAUGGGAAGUCCUCGUCAGAAAUGACAAGUGAUGGUGCUGCAGGGAGUUUACCAAAUUAACUGUUUUUCAAAGCAUACGCUGCCAUUGAUUAUGACCUGACUUCUGAAAAGAUCUGACUUCUGUCACUACAGUCAUGAGAUACCUAUCAAGUGGAACAAACACUCACUGUGCUUGUUCUUGCAUAGUUUUUCCUUUUGAGGAAUUCAUCUGUCUUCGUGAUGUUUUGUGCUUCAGGCUUGCUGUUCAGACCCAUUGCCAGGUUAUGUUUCUGUUUAUGACAAUAUAUUGGUAAACAAUCAAAUCUGUAAGGUAUAACACAGUUAUGUGGCUCUAAAUAGUUAAAAUGUUGACCAAUAUUAAGAAAAAGAUUUACUUUCAAAAAUUCAUUGGCAGGUAUAUUUGGAAAUACUAUGUCAAAAUGAUUUCAUAAUAAGUGUAGGUUUGUUAAGACUGAGUUUCUUCACUCAGGCCAGCUGCAGUAAGAGCAAGGAAGAUUUGGAACUAAAUUCUGGGAUGUCUGGUUAGUCUGGGAAAGAUCCAUUGGCAGCCCAAGAAAUCACUAGUUUUGUGGUAGAUAAAACAUAGUCCUUGGUGGAGAGGACACGGUAAAUUUUUGUAAGCGCAUCCUUCCUGCAACCAGUCUGUUCUGGGUAAACUGCCACUGAGUUUGGCUUAGGCAGCCUUUGGCCAGAUAACAGAGGGACUGGAAAGCAGAACCCCAAAUACAUGUCUGCUUCCUUACUCCUGCUGUUUAUAAACAAAACAACAUUUAUUCCUUUGAAGGUACAAAGCAAAUAUGAAAAUUUAUAACCAAGUACCCCCUUUUAUUGCUUCUCUCCUUAAUUUUGUCUAUGUUCACCACUCUUAAUAAUAAAAUUGUCUUCUUGCUCUAUGUUCC
rnacentral:lncRNA from 1 species